AGGGGUGUAGCUCAGUUGGUAGAGCAGCGGUCUCCAAAACCGCAGGUCGCGGGUUCGAAUCCUGUCGCCCCUG
rnacentral:tRNA from 1 species